UACGUAGGGUGCAAGCGUUGUCCGGAAUUAUUGGGCGUAAAGAGCUCGUAGGCGGUUUGUUGCGUCGGCUGUGAAAUCCCGAGGCUCAACCUCGGGUCUGCAGUCGAUACGAGCAAACUAGAGUGUUGCAGGGGAGACUGGAAUUCCUGGUGUAGCGGUGAAAUGCGCAGAUAUCAGGAGGAACACCGGUGGCGAAGGCGGGUCUCUGGGCAACAACUGACGCUGGAGGAGCGAAAAGCGUUGGGGGAGCGAAACAGG
rnacentral:rRNA from 1 species